GUACUCUCUUUGGCAGCACAUACACUAAAAUUGGAACAAUACAGAGAAAAUCAGCAUUGCUUCUGCACAAAGAUGACACACAAAUUCACGAAAUGUUCCAUAUUUUU
ensembl:snRNA U6 U6 spliceosomal RNA